rnacentral:rRNA from 1 species
UACGUAGGGGGCAAGCGUUGUCCGGAAUCAUUGGGCGUAAAGCGCGUGUAGGCGGCUUCGUAAGUCCGUUGUGAAAGUCCAGGGCUCAACCCUGGAAUGCCGAUGGAUACUGCGAAGCUAGAGUCCGGAAGAGGCGAGUGGAAUUCCUGGUGUAGCGGUGAAAUGCGCAGAUAUCAGGAGGAACACCAAUGGCGAAGGCAGCUCGCUGGGACGGUACUGACGCUGAGACGCGAAAGCGUGGGGAGCAAACAGG